GGCAACUUGGCCGAGCGGUUAUGGCGCCAGUUUCAGGUUCACCUGAUUCAGUAAUUACUGGUUCGAAAGAGCGUGGGUUCGAAUCCCACAGUUGUCA
rnacentral:tRNA from 1 species